GCUGUAGCUCAGUGGUAGAGCAUCUGAUUUGCAUGCAGAAGGUCCCAUGUUCCCAUGUCCCUGCCAUCUCCA